rnacentral:lncRNA from 1 species
ACGGCAGCACUGCGGCAGGCAGCACGGCUGACGGCUGGAGCCCGACUCUUCGGAGGAAACGGCGGAAAACCGUUCCCUGGGACAAGGAGGACGGAGCAGCCGCGUGGCCGAGGGAGCUSGGAUGCAGCCAGUGCUUGGGCCGUCGCUGCUGGCGCUUUCCUCAUCGGCCAGGUGUUACUCCCUAAGUGAGCUCAAUCCCACCGCUCCGAGAGGGCCGUGCGGCAUCCAGCAGUAGCCCGAAGUGGGUGAUUACUUUCUGUGCUCUCAGAGGUAAGAAGCAGCUGGUGAGGAGCACAUAGCCGCAGCUUAGGCUGGAGCUAUUUACGGGCUGAAGUUAGAAGAGCGUGAAGAAAGAUAAGGAGCUAAAAUGAGAAUACAAUGAAGGUAGCAGAAGCAGUACAGAUGAGUAAUCAAGGGAAAUUCAUUGCUUUGGCAGACACAGGCUGUGGGAGCGGAGUCGGGAGCCCCAGAAGCUUCUCUGCAAUUGCCGGUCCUGAACCAGAGCAAAUGGAAAUUAAUUCUCCUUCCCCAUGUGUCCUUGCAGAAGGGAGCUGCUGCCCAUCCCGUGCAAAGGAGAUGGAGGCACCCCACGUGCAUCUCUCCUCUGGUCRGAAGCGGCAGGGCUCAGGGACCAGAGUCAGGCAGAGGCUGUUCGGAAAAGCUGCUGUCAGCACCUGGAAGUUAAUGUGUGCCGGUGCUUUUGCAACGUGGAGAUGGAGGUGGAAGGGGGCUGUCUGGCCGUCCUGCCUCGCGCUGCCGCCGGAGCUGGAGCGUUUCUGCCGCCCACAGCCCUUCCAGGAGCCCCAGCCACCAGCACCCCUCCGCCGUCCCUGUCCGGCCCCAGGGACCUCCCCGGGGACUGGCCCGGCUCCAGCUCCGCUCAUCCUGGAGAGCAUCUCUGGGAAGGGCUUUUGUGGAGACGUUGUCCCCGCGAAGCUGUCACGCGCGUUGUCACCUUAG